AGAACUAUCAUUGAUUACUGCCUUUCAAUGCAGAGUGAGUACAACACCGUCGUAUUGUAUAAUGGCACUUGGUUUUUUAUUGAUCACAGCAGUAUUUGCGUUCGGCACAUAUUGGGUAACGAAGUAUUUCAUGUUGCCAAGUACACAUAUAUCUAAGAUUGGCGUCACGCAGUUGGAACCUACGACCCCCGCAUUUGACUACAUAUAACGAUAUAGCCAAUAACUUCUAUAAGUGAGACCAAUGAAAUAACAAGCAAAUUAUAAUUUCAUUUGAAUAAGGUGUUCAAGCCUUUAUGAACAAAUGAUUACAUAAUUAAAAUUUGUUUCUUAAUGUUUGUAAACAAAUGAAAAUGUUUUUAAAUUGCCCGGUGAAAAAUACGAUACUAUUACACACUGUCAUUCGAUUUCAUAUUUGUAAAUAAUUAUUGUCGAAACAUUUCUAUUUGUAAACAAACAAAGUUUGUAACGUGCAUCGUUUCGGUUAUAUUAUUGUAUCAUUAAUUGUGUCGAUAAUAACACCUGUUGAAACGUAGUUGUUAAUUGAAUAAGUUUGUUAAUAUUACGAUAGUAAUGGCAGUAGCUGGAUUAAUAUUUUUAGCGGGGGCUAUAAUGGCUACAGUGUUCCUCGGAGGGAGAUAUCUCUUGGAGAUGGAUCGUCGAAACAAUGAAGUGCCGAUAUCAAAUCUUACGGGCUUAGGUUGAACAAUUAACUUGAAUAUAAAUAAUAUUUACAAUAGGUAAGAAUCUCACGGAUUUUUCUUAUUUUAGGAGAAGAGAGAAUAUUGAAAUUGAUGGUUGGGAAAAUCUUCUAAUGCUCCUUAUGUGAUAUUUAUUGUAUUAAUUUCUUUGAAAAAAAAAGUGUAUUCAUAAAGAUAAUGUUGGAGUGUAUAUUAUGUAACGUAUUCAAUGUAUAUUAUAGAAUUUUAUAUUAUUUGUAAUACCCCAAUAAAUUAUAAAAUCUUCAUAAACAGUUUCAUGAAAAAAUAUAAACAAAAACGUUUGACUAAAUUGCAACAUAUAUUACAACAUAGUAUGUUUGGAAUUAUAAUACCAAAAUAAACCUGACAUGGAUUGUAGGCCAUCAUGGUAACGGUUCUAUUACUUUAUCGUAUGUUUAUUAAAGCUUUCGAAAAAAGUGGUCAUUCAUGGUUUUGAUUUACAUAUUGUAAAGCAUCUGUCAAGAUCUUAUCAAGUAUAAAUAAAUUGAUAAUUUGUUAAAAAAUGUUAAAUUGUUUUUUUGCUGUUAAAUUAUG